AUUAAGUAGUGGCUCAAAGGUAGCAGUUUUCAAAAAGCCACUACCUUAUCAUGUUUUUUUAUUUUAAUAAUUAGUGUGUAAGGGUUAAGGUAGUGGUUAAAAAAUCAACCGCAACCUUUAGGUAGGCAUGUGUAGUGGGCUAACUAACAAAACAUAGAUGGUGGGCUUUGGCACCAGGUAAAAAAUAAACCGCUACCAUAAAAUCGCUACCUAAGACUGAUAUUUUGAAAGAAAAAAAAAACAAGUUGAAGGUUUCUCAAACAGAUCGUGUCGCGCCCUAGCUGCUCCACAUCUUAGACGUGCACGGUUCUUUUCACUUCCAUUCUUCUUCUGCUCCGUACUCCGUCCAUUCGCUCCUUGCUGUUGCCGCCGUUGUUGCACGGUUUGUGGUUGCUUCUACCGUGGUUGCUGGAAGCUUGUUUCGAUCUCUGCCGUACUUCGCCUUUUGCUGUCAUUCGCAUUUUGCUGCUGCCGCCAUCGUUGUGCCAUUCAUCGUUGAUGUUGUCGUCUUCCAUCAUCGUUGUGUCAUUCAUUGUUGCUGCUGCCUUCUUCGCGCCCUAAUCCAGGUUUAUGGAGAUAGUGAAGUCUUUUGAAUUUUGAUGAGCAAGCUAUUGGAGAAUUUAGUGGUCUUUUUUUUUAUGGUCUUUUUUUUUUAUCGUACUUACUCUUUCAUGAUUAUAUGUGUAGGCGUAUACACUUAAUAUGUAUGUUUAUUUUAGCCUAUUUUGUUUGGCAACCUUAAAAAAUGAACUAUGUCAUGUUUUAAUUGUAUUUCAUUCUAGCAAAUAUUAUUACAUGAUAAUCAAGAUAAUUGGGAACUAUGUA